rnacentral:rRNA from 1 species
AAUCAACGCUGGCGGCGUGCCUCAGACAUGCAAGUCGAACGAUUAAAGCUCUCUUCGGAGAGUGUAUAGAGUGGCGCACGGGUGAGUAACACGUAAGUAAUCUACCUUUGAGUGGGGAAUAACCCGGGGAAACCCGAGCUAAUACCGCAUAAUGCAGCGGCAUCGCAAGAUGACAGUUGUUAAAGGAGCAAUCCGCUUAAAGAGGAGCUUGCGGCAGAUUAGCUAGUUGGUAAGGUAAUGGCUUACCAAGGCUACGAUCUGUAUCCGGUCUAAGAGGACGGUCGGACACACUGACACUGAAUAACGGGUCAGACUCCUACGGAGGCAGCAGUCGGGAAUUUUGGGCAAUGGGCGAAAGCCUGACCCCAGCAACGCCGCGUGAAGGAUGAAGUAUUUCGGUAUGUAAACUUCGAAAGAACA